UCAACGAGGAGGAUAGAGAGACA
rnacentral:piRNA from 1 species